CUCUCUCGCUCCCGUGUCUGCUGGUGACCCGCGUGGUCGCGAAGCCCCAGGGGAAGAUGGCGACGACGGCUGCCCGAGGCCCAGGCACGGCGUGGCCGGCGCUUGGCGCCUCGUGCGCGGCGCGGCUGAGGACAGAAUGGUGGCUGGAAGUAUAAGAGUCUGUCUGUAGACUUCAAUAUUUCAGAGGAGUGAGAUGUUCACAGGAAGGGUGGAAAGCAGCUCCCUUGGGCUUAUGCGGGCCUUGGACCAGACCUAAUCUGGGUGGAAAAAGAGAACUGGGUCAUGGCUUACCAAAACUUGGUGGAAGAGUGGAGCCUUCUGUUCUUCAGACCCUAUUAAUACAGAUUCAAGGUCAAGAGCUGAAACUGGAUAUUGCAUGAAUUAUGUGUCCAUAUUGCAAGCCUGUUAGUCUGCGAUAGAAGAACAUCACAAAAUAUCUGAAUGACCCUGGGAACUAGCAACUGUUUUUUUGAGCACAAACAUUUCUGCUCACUCUUUUACAUGUAUAAGAUGCAUACUGUUUAGUGCACAAAUUAAAAUUUUCAAAUCAUU